rnacentral:rRNA from 1 species
UCUAAGGUAUAGCAAUAUAACCGUGAAGCUGCGAUUGCUCAAUAAUUCAGUUAUCGUUUAUUUGAUAGUACCUUACUACUUGGAUACCCGUGGUAAUUCUAGAGCUAAUACAUGCAAAAAACCCCGACUUCGGGAGGGGUGUAUUUAUUAGAUAAAAAACCAAUGCCCUUCGGGGCUCUUUGGUGAUUCAUGAUAACUUAACGGAUCGCAUGGCCUUGCGCCGGCGACGGUUCAUUCAAAUUUCUGCCCUAUCAACUUUCGAUGGUAAGGUAUUGGCUUACCAUGGUUUCAACGGGUAACGGAUUUUUAGGGAAAGAUCCCGGAGAGGGAGCCUGAGAAACGGCUACCACAUCCAAGGAAGGCAGCAGGCGCGCAAAUUACCCAAUCCCGACACGGGGAGGUAGUGACAAUAAAUACUGAUACAGGGCUCUUUUGGGUCUUGUAAUCGGAAUGAGUACAAUUUAAAUACCUUAACGAGGAACAAUUGGAGGGCAAGUCUGGUGCCAGCAGCCGCGGUAAUUCCAGCUCCAAUAGCGUAUAUUAAAGUUGUUGCAGUUAAAAAGCUCGUAGUUGAACCUUGGGCCUGGCUGGCCGGUCCGCCUCACCGCGUGUACUGGUCCGGCCGGGCCUUUCCUUCUGGAGAACCCCAUGCCCUUCACUGGGCGUGGCGGGGAACCAGGACUUUUACUUUGAGAAAAUUAGAGUGUUCAAAGCAGGCCUUUGCUCGAAUACGUUAGCAUGGAAUAAUAGAAUAGGACGUGUGGUUCUAUUUUGUUGGUUUCUAGAACCGCCGUAAUGAUUAAUAGGGAUAGUCGGGGGCGUCAGUAUUCAAUUGUCAGAGGUGAAAUUCUUGGAUCUAUUGAAGACUAACUACUGCGAAAGCAUUCGCCAAGGAUGUUUUCAUUAAUCAGUGAACGAAAGUUAGGGGAUCGAAGACGAUCAGAUACCGUCGUAGUCUUAACCGUAAACUAUGCCCGACUAGGGAUCGGGCGAUGUUUUCUAUCUUUGACUCGCUCGGCCACCUUUACGAGGAAAU